UACGGAGGGUGCAAGCGUUGUCCGGAAUCACUGGGCGUAAAGGGCGCGUAGGCGGCUCGGUAAGUAGGGGAUGAAAUCCUGCGGCUUAACCGCAGGGCUGCCUUCUAAACUGUCGAGCUUGAGCACGGUAGAGGCAGAUGGAAUUCCCGGUGUAGCGGUGGAAUGCGUAGAGAUCGGGAAGAACAUCAGUGGCGAAGGCGGUCUGCUGGGCCGUUGCUGACGCUGAGGCGCGACAGCGUGGGGAGCAAACAGG
rnacentral:rRNA from 1 species